AUUUUAUGAAGUAGAAAAGGCUCUCUACACACCUGCUUAACAGGUACCUGAGAUGGUGGGUACGCCGUCCACCCAUGAAAU
rfam:Peptostreptococcaceae bacterium AS15 ctg120005099214, whole genome shotgun sequence.